AGAGUUUGAUCCUGGCUCAGGACGAACGCUGGCGGCGUGCUUAACACAUGCAAGUCGAACGAUGAAGCUCCAGCUUGCUGGGGUGGAUUAGUGGCGAACGGGUGAGUAACACGUGAGUAACCUGCCCCUUUCUUCGGGAUAAGCUUGGGAAACUGGGUCUAAUACCGGAUAUUCAGCGGCUGCCGCAUGGUGGUUGUUGGAAAGAUUUUUUGGGAGGGGAUGGGCUCGCGGCCUAUCAGCUUGUUGGUGGGGUGAUGGCCUACCAAGGCGUCGACGGGUAGCCGGCCUGAGAGGGUGACCGGCCACACUGGGACUGAGAUACGGCCCAGACUCCUACGGGAGGCAGCAGUGGGGAAUAUUGCACAAUGAGCGAAAGCUUGAUGCAGCGACGCCGCGUGAGGGAUGACGGCUUUCGGGUUGUAAACCUCUUUCGGCAGGGAACAAGGCCGCAUGUUUGUGUGGUUGAGGGUACCUGCAUAAGAAGCGCCGGCUAACUACGUG
rnacentral:rRNA from 1 species